rnacentral:rRNA from 1 species
UAGGGAAUCUUCGGCAAUGGACGAAAGUCUGACCGAGCAACGCCGCGUGAGUGAAGAAGGUUUUCGGAUCGUAAAACUCUGUUGUUAGAGAAGAACAAGGACGUUAGUAACUGAACGUCCCCUGACGGUAUCUAACCAGAAAGCCACGGCUAACUACGUGCCAGCAGCCGCGGUAAUACGUAGGUGGCAAGCGUUGUCCGGAUUUAUUGGGCGUAAAGCGAGCGCAGGCGGUUUCUUAAGUCUGAUGUGAAAGCCCCCGGCUCAACCGGGGAGGGUCAUUGGAAACUGGGAGACUUGAGUGCAGAAGAGGAGAGUGGAAUUCCAUGUGUAGCGGUGAAAUGCGUAGAAAUAUGGAGGAACACCAGUGGCGAAGGCGGCUCUCUGGUCUGUAACUGACGCUGAGGCUCGAAAGCGUGGGGAGCAAACAGG